rnacentral:rRNA from 1 species
UACGGAGGGUGCAACCGUUGCUCGGAAUCAUUGGGCGUAAAGCGCACGUAGGCGGACUGUUAAGUCGGAUGUGAAAUCCCUCAGCUUAACUGAGGAAGUGCAUUCGAAACUGGCAGUCUUGAGUAUGGAAGAGGGUCGCGGAAUUCCCGGUGUAGAGGUCAAAUUCGUAGAUAUCGGGAGGAACACCAGUGGCGAAGGCGGCGACCUGGGCCAAUACUGACGCUGAGGUGCGAAAGCGUGGGGAGCAAACAGG